UUGCCGUCCCGCCACAGACAUGCCUUUUUAUGACACAUCACCAUUUUUUCUGUGAUUCAUCAUCAAUGUGUUCAGGCUUAUGUCGCCACAUCUGAGGUGAAUCUGAGCAACAGGCUAAGAAUAGUACAUGAAAGUGUAAAAAAUGUCAAAUUCUUGAUACCACAAGGUGGCGCUGUGACUGUGAAUGAAUCUUGCUAUAUGGAUGUCAUCGAGGCAGGUCUGUGAUCAUACAUGUAAAGUUUCAUUCAGAUCGGAGCAUGUUCAGGAGAGUUAGACAGCAUUUCCUGUUUCAUGGCGAAGGAUCAAAUUUCGACAGGCCGCCACGACCACACCCUUUAACUAUGGAGGAAGAUUUUGAUAACUUUUUCUCAGGAAGGUCUGCUGUAUGUACUGGCAAAAUUUCAGAUCGCUCAGACUUUUCCCCUAGGAGGAGUUCAUCAUAGAUUUUGUACAGUUAACGCAUGAUGGCGCACUUCCUGUUGGGUGUAGAGCAUGGCUGUGAUUGACUUUUUUGUGUUUCCUGAUGUGCUGCAUAUGCCUCCCAAAUUUUUUAGCUCUCGGCCAAAUUCCCUCCGAGUUGGCCUAAUACCACUUUUUAAAAUUUUGUAGGGGGCGCUAUGGAGCCAUUUUGCCACACACCUCCACAUGCCCUAAAAAAUAUGAAAUUUUUCGCCAGUUCUGAUGUGUGUGCAAAUUUUCAUGACUUUUCGAGCAUGUUCAGGCCCUGAAAAUGCAGUUGUUUUGGCAGAAUAAUAAUAAUAAUAAUAAUAAUAAUAAUUAAAGCUGCGAGCAGCGUUGAACGGGUCCUCGCAUCCUUGCUGGUCGGCGACCCCAAGCAUGUCCACCAGGCAAUGCUACGACUGAGAGUGUAUUUAGGCCCACGGAUGUCACAAAGGCUGGAUUCUGAGCACACAGGUCAAAUUUCAGGCAGAUUGGAGCAUGUACAGGCUAUUUAUGCUGCACUUUCUGUCCAUCCACCAGGUGGCGCUAUCUCUGUGACUGUAUAUUGGUCUAUGAAACUCAUAAGGACCGGUCUCUGAUCAAACAUGUAAAGUUUCAGGCAAUUGCAGCAUUUACAGGGGAUUUACAUAAGAUGUCCUGCUUCAUGGCGUAACAUUGUAGUUCAGUUGGCUGCCAUGGCCACGCCCUUUGAGUUUUGUGAACAAUUUUCACAAAUACUCAACCUGAAGGCGUGUAGUAUAUAUUGUCCCAAUUUCAGGUGUUUUGGAGCUAUUGCCUGUGAGAAAUCAAUUGUUGAAAAUGAUCAAAAACACCAAAAAUCUGACAUUUAAUUCAAAAUAGCGGACUUCCUAUUGAGUUUAGAGAAUGACUCCAAGAGACUUUUUUGUUUGCAAUGAAGUGCUACAUAUGCAUGCCAAAUUUCAUAGUCAUAGGUGAAAGUCUCUGUGGAGGCUAUUCUUAAAAAUGCUGUAGGGGGCGCUACGGAACAUGCUGUGAAUGUAUUUUGGCCAAUAAAUGUGAUCAGGACAGGACUGUGUUUAAUCAUGUGAGGUCUGAGGUAGAUUGGAGCAUGCAGAGGAUAGUUAGGUAGCACUUGAUGUUUCAUGGCAAACCAUCAACAUUGAGGAGGUCGCCAUGUCCACACCGUUUGACUCUGCAAGAAUCCUUUGAUAACUUUUGAUCAGAACAUCGUGUUGUAUAUCCUGGCAAAAUUUCAGCUCUCUAGACCUUAACCCCGAGGAGGAGUUCGCUCUCAAAAAUGAAAAAAAUACAGAAAUUUUAUCCACUUAAUUCAAAAUGGCGGACUUCCUGUUGAGUUUAGGGGAUGGCUCCAAGAGGCUUUUUUGUGUGUCCUGGUGUGCUCUAUAGGCCUCCCAAAUUUUGUGGAUGUAGGUGAAACAUGCUGCGGGGGCUGUUUAUUAAACAUACUGCAGGGGGCGCUAUAGCACAUGCCCUGCAGAGAUGCAUACAGUGUUAUUCCUUGAGACGACUGUGAUGUGUGUGUAAAUUUUGGUGAGCUGUUGAACAUUCUAAGCCUGUCAAAAAGUACUUUGUUUGUCACAAAAACAACGCGUUGCCACGGCAACAGCAUUUCAUCAAAUAUCAAAAUCUUCACACUGUGGUAUUGUCUGGGGGUGAAGAAUCAGCUGACCAAUUUUCAGAAUGAUAUGACAAAGUUUGGAGCAAUGAUGUGUGCAAAUGUAAUUUCUAAACUGCUUGUUACCAAGAGGUGGCGCUAUGACUUUUUCUAAAUUUUUCAGUGUGGAUGUCCUCAAACUGGUUCUGGUGUCCAGCACAUGAAGUUUGGGGCAGAUAGGAUCCUUUGCAGCUGAGAUAUGAACACUUCAAUUUUCAUGGCGAAACAUCAAACUUUGCCGUCCCGCCACAGACACGCCUUUUCAUCACACGUCACCAUUUUUUCUGUGCUUCAUCAUCAAUGUGUUCAGGCUUAUGUCACAACAUCUGAGGUGAAUCUGAGCAACAGGCUAAGAAUAGUACAUGAAAGUCUAAAAAAUGUCAAAUUCUUGAUACCACAAGGUGGCGCUGUGACUGUGAAUGAAUCUUGCUGUAUGGAUGUCAUCGAGGCAGGUCUGUGAUCAUACAUGUAAAGUUUCAUUCAGAUCGGAGCAUGUUCAGGAGAGUUAGACAGCAUUUCCUGUUUCAUGGCGAAGGAUCAAAUUUCGACAGGCCGCCACGACCACACCCUUUAACUAUGGAGGAAGAUUUUGAUAACUUUUUCUCAGGAAGGUCUGCUGUAUGUACUGGCAAAAUUUCAGAUCGCUCAGACUUUUCCCCUAGGAGGAGUUCAUCAUAGAUUUUGUACAGUUAACGCAUGAUGGCGCACUUCCUGUUGGGUGUAGAGCAUGGCUGUGAUUGACUUUUUUGUGUUUCCUGAUGUGCUGCAUAUGCCUCCCAAAUUUUUUAGCUCUCGGCCAAAUUCCCUCCGAGUUGGCCUAAUACCACUUUUUAAAAUUUUGUAGGGGGCGCUAUGGAGCCAUUUUGUCAUACACUACCACAAUUCCUUUAGAAUAUAAAAUUUUUCACCAGUUCUGGUGUGUGUACAAAUUUUCAUGAGUUUUUGAGCAUGUUUAGGCCCUCAAAAAUGCAGUUGUUCUGAGAGACAAAUAAUAAUAAUAAUAAUAAUAAUAAACCGUAGGGUUUCAAUAGGGUCCUACGGCACCGUUGGUGCCUUGGACAGCCGGUGCCCUUGCACCGCCUGUCCUCGGCACCUCGGUGCUCGGACCCUAAUAAACCGUAGGGUUCCAAUAGGGUCCUACGGCACCGUUGGUGCCUUGGACAGCCGGUGCCCUUGCACCGCCUGUCCUCGGCACCUCGGUGCUCGGACCCUAAUAAUUAAAGCUGCGAGCAGCGUUGAACGGGUCCUCGCAUCCUUGCUGGUCGGCGACCCCAAGCAUGUCCACCAGGCAAUGCUACGACUGAGAGUAUAUUUAGGCCCACGGAUGUCACAAAGGCUGGAUUCUGAGCACACAGGUCAAAUUUCAGGCAGAUUGGAGCAUGUACAGGCUAUUUAUGCUGCACUUUCUGUCCAUCCACCAGGUGGCGCUAUCUCUGUGACUGUAUAUUGGUCUAUGAAACUCAUAAGGACCGGUCUCUGAUCAAACAUGUAAAGUUUCAGGCAAUUGCAGCAUUUACAGGGGAUUUACAUAAGAUGUCCUGCUUCAUGGCGUAACAUUGUAGUUCAGUUGGCUGCCAUGGCCACGCCCUUUGAGUUUUGUGAACAAUUUUCACAAAUACUCAACCUGAAGGCGUGUAGUAUAUAUUGUCCCAAUUUCAGGUGUUUUGGAGCUAUUGCCUGUGAGAAAUCAAUUGUUGAAAAUGAUCAAAAACACCAAAAAUCUGACAUUUAAUUCAAAAUAGCGGACUUCCUAUUGAGUUUAGAGAAUGACUCCAAGAGACUUUUUUGUUUGCAAUGAAGUGCUACAUAUGCAUGCCAAAUUUCAUAGUCAUAGG